CGGCGGACGGGUGAGUAACGCGUGGGUAACCUGCCUCAUACAGGGGGAUAACAGUUGGAAACGGCUGCUAAUACCGCAUAGCGCACAGUACCGCAUGGUACGGUGUGAAAAACUCCGGUGGUAUGAGAUGGACCCGCGUCUGAUUAGGUAGUUGGUGGGGUAACGGCCUACCAAGCCGACGAUCAGUAGCCGACCUGAGAGGGUGACCGGCCACAUUGGGACUGAGACACGGCCCAA
rnacentral:rRNA from 1 species